CCUACGGAAGGCAGCAGUGAGGAAUAUUGGUCAAUGGACGAGAGUCUGAACCAGCCAAGUAGCGUGAAGGAUGAAUGCCCUAUGGGUUGUAAACUUCUUUUAUAUGGGAAUAAAAUGUUCCACGUGUGGGAUUUUGUAUGUACCAUAUUAAUAAGGAUCGGCUAACUCCGUGCCAGCAGCCGCGGUAAUACGGAGGAUACGAGCGUUAUCCGGAUUUAUUGGGUUGAAAGGGAGCGAAGGUGGGUUGUUAAGUAAGUUGUGAAAGUUUUCGGCUCAACCGUAACAUUGCAUUUGAAACUGGCAGUCAUGAGUACAGUAGAGGUGGGCGGAAUUCGUGGUGUAGCGGUGAAAUGCUUAGAUAUCGCGAAGAACUCCGAUUGCGAAGGCAGCUCGCUGGACUGCAACUGACACUGAGGCUCGAAAGUGUGGGUAUCAAACAGGAUUAGAUACCCUUGUAGUC
rnacentral:rRNA from 1 species